GUGCUUGCUUUGGCAGCACAUAUACUAAAAUUGGAAUUAUACAGAGAAGAUUGCCAUGGCCCCUGAGCAAGGAUGAAAUGCAAAUUCAUGAAGCGUUUCGUAUUUUU
rnacentral:snRNA from 1 species